UACAGAGGGUGCGAGCGUUGUCCGGAAUCACUGGGCGUAAAGGGCGCGUAGGCGGCUUGAUAAGCGUGCGGUGAAAGCCCGGGGCUCAACCCCGGGUCGGCCGUGCGAACUGUCGAGCUGGAGCACUGUAGAGGCAGGUGGAAUUCCGGGUGUAGCGGUGGAAUGCGUAGAGAUCCGGAAGAACACCGGUGGCGACGGCGGCCUGCUGGGCAGUAGCUGACGCUGAAGCGCGACAGCGUGGGGAGCAAACAGG
rnacentral:rRNA from 1 species